rnacentral:snRNA from 1 species
GGACAGGAGGGUGACCUAACUGCCACAUCUGUGUCCUACUGUCAGAGCUGAGCUGGUUGACCUGGCUGGCUAGGUGAGUAUCCUCUUCCUCCCUCACCACUCUGUGUGUCCUUCCCAACGCUAUGUGCUUAUUGGAAGGGAAUGUCCUUCCCUAAUAGAAGAGGACUGUUCUUUGGUCAAGGGUCUGUGGGUAGCCACACUCCCCUGCCAGACCCUCCAAAUGAGCGCUCAAAAACCUCACAGCAAACAUAACACUUAACAGAAAUAUUAAAUGCUUU